UCCACGAUAUGAUCAUCUUCGUGUGUUUGGAUGUAUAUGUUAUGUCUUGUUACCACCACGUGAGCGGACUAAAUUGACUGCUCAAUCUGUAGAGUGCGUAUUCCUUGGAUACAAUCCUGAACACAAAGGUUAUCAUUGUUAUGAUCCAUCUACUCGUCGUAUUCGGAUUUCUAGAGAUGUAAGUUUCAAUGAAACUCGCCCCUUCUUUCACAACCAGUCUACUCACUCAACCUAUUAUCCCACAGAAUCCACUUCUUUCAUGUGUCUUCCUUCCAUUCCUGCAUCUGAACCAUCAUCUUCUACAUCCACAACUGAUGUUCUCAUUCCCAUAACACCACCUUCCACCUCCACGUCAUCCACCUCUUACUCUUCCAAACCACCUAUCAUCCAAACCUACAUUCGUCGUUCCCGUUCUAUUCCUACGGCUGGUCCUGAUACUGAUCCUGUACCUGAUUCUUGUACUAACAAUAUCGAGUGUAAUGAUGUUUUUAAUCAGGGAUACCGUCUUCGUGACCGUUGUACCAUUGAACCUCCAGAUCGCUAUGGUUUUCCACGGGCUGGUGUGGCAAUUGUUGAACCCACUACAUAUCAGGAAGCUUCUGGGAUUCUUGAGUGGCAGCUAGCUAUGAUUGAUGAAUUGGCUGCUCUUGAAAGCACUGGUACUUGGGAUAUUGUUCCUUUACCCUCGCAUGCUGUUCCUAUCACAUGUAAAUGGGUCUUCAAAGUUAAGACAAAAUCAGAUGGUUCCAUUGAGAGGUAUAAAGCUCGUCUUGUGGCCCGUGGUUUUCAACAGACUCAAGGACUUGAUUAUGAUGAGACUUUUGCACCUAUUGUGCAUAUGACUACUGUUCGAACCUUGAUUGCAGUUGCAACCUCAUCUUCUUGGACUAUAUCCCAGAUGGAUGUCAAGAAUGCUUUUCUUAAUGGCGAUCUACAAGAAGAAGUUUAUAUGCAUCCUCCUCCAGGGGUUGAUACUCCCUCAGGGCAUGUUUGUCGUCUUCGUCGCGCAUUGUAUGGGCUGAAACAAGCUACUCGUGCUUGGUUUGAGCGAUUCAUCUCUGUCAUCACAGCUGCUGGUUUUUCUUCUAGUGAACAUGAUCCUGCAUUGUUUGUUCAUGUAUCUCCACAAGGUCGUACCUUACUACUAUUAUAUGUGGAUGAUAUGCUGAUUACAGGUGACAACUCAGAACAUAUUUCUCAUGUCAAGCAACAUCUUAGUAAGGAAUUUCAGAUGUCUGAUUUGGGACCGCUUAGCUAUUUCUUGAGCAUUGAAGUUCAGCAGACUCAAAAAGGCUUUUAUCUGUCUCAGUCGAAAUAUAUACAAGAUCUUCUUGAUCGCUCUGGACUUACUGAUACACGCACUGUUGCAACACCGAUGGAUAUUCAUUUAAAACUUCGUCCGAAGGAUGGGACCCCACUAGCAGAUCCAACUCGGUAUCGUCAUAUUGUGGGUAGUCUUGUUUAUCUCACCAUCACCAGACCUGAUAUUGCUCAUGCUGUUCAUAUGUUGAGCCAAUUUGUAUCAACACCUACUUCAGUUCAUUAUGGUCAUUUGCUUCGUGUGCUUCGAUAUUUACGUGGGACAAGAUCCAGAUGUUUACUCUAUGCUUCAGAUAGCCCACUUCAGCUUCAUGCGUAUUCAGAUGCCACUUGGGCAAGUGAUCCUGUUGACCGUUGUUCUACUAUGGGUUACUGUAUUUUCCUUGGGUCAUCUCCCAUUGCAUGGAAAUCCAAGAAGCAAGCAGCCAUAUCUCGUUCUAGUGCUGAAGCCGAACUUCGGGCACUUGCUACUACCACUGCUGAAAUUAUUUGGUUGCGCUGGCUCUUGGCUGAUCUUGGUGUCUCUUGUGACACUUAUACACCUCUGUUAUGUGAUAACUUGAGCGCUAUACAGAUUGCUCAUGAUCCAGUGAAGCAUGAACUUACUAAACACAUAGGUGUUGAUGCAUCCUUUACUCGAUCACAUUGUCAGCAGAAGACUAUUGAUCUUCAAUAUGUGCCCUCAGAAUAUCAAUUGGCAGAUUUCUUCACCAAAGCACAAACAAGAGCACAACAUCAGUUUCACUUGAUCAAACUCAAAGCUUCAGAUCCUCCAUUUCCACCUUGAGUUUGAGGAGGGGUGUUAAGGCCCAUUAGGCCCAGGCCUACUAGCUAUAUAUAUUACCUACAGUCCUUAGGGACUAAUCAUCUAUUAUCAAUCCCAAGACAUGAAACCAAAUUGGUUCAAAGAGAUGCACAUUAUUCCUCUCAGACAAUGCUCAAUACCUCUCUCUCAUAGUUUACUAGUAUGGCUCAUCAACUUAAUUCUCAGGUGCAUCUCAUGAGCUUAACUGGAAUAUCAGCUUCAAAAUAAUACAAGGAAUUUGUCAUGGUUUACAGUUCUUACAUGAAUCGCAAAGACCCAUAAUUCACAUGGAUCUCAAACCUGGCAAUAUAUUGUUGGAUGAUAACUUAAUGCCCAAAAUUGCCGAUUUUGGUUUAUCAAGGCUCUUUGGCGAAGAGCAAACACGUGCACUCACUUCAAAUGUUGUGGGAUCAAGAGGGUACAUGGCUCCAGAAUAUUACUACAGAGGUGAAGUCUCAACCAAAUCAGAUAUAUACAGUCUGGGCAUCCUUAUAAUCGAGAUAGUAACAGGGUUAAAAGUCGAUUCUAACACUGUAGACUUAUCGUCUAAGAACCUUAUCGACAAUGUACAAAGGAUUUGGACAAAAAUGCCGCAGAUAGCUUCUAAGUACCCGACGUUGGAAGCAAGCAACCUCCAACAAGUUAAAAGAUGCAUUGAUGCUGGGUUAAAUUGUGUGAGCGAAAAACCAAGAGAAAGGCCAUCCGCAGGGGAAAUUAUCAAGCAGCUUAACGGAAGCAGCUUUCCAUCUCGCAACUAGAUGCUUAGGGCCUUUGGUCUUUUUCUAGUUUCUGACCACUAAAAGCUGAUGCGGACCGUCAAUCGCCUUGGCUUUUCAAUCACCUUUUAUGAGAAUCGUUUCAGUAAAAACCAUCUAAAAUUAACAUAAACACAUAACCGAUUAAGUCGUCACAAUAGUAGGAAUAUGUCACUUUCUAGAUUAUGAACUCUUUGGACCACUUCAUUUUCUUCCAUACGUGAUCUCUACGAUACUUA